CGCCCCGGGCCUGCUUCAGGAAAUGCCUCCUGACAGCGGAGGGAGGGAGGGAGUGUCCGCGCUCACUUAGGCACCACGAGGCAGGCAGGGCCGGGCGUGUUUAUUUAAAGGGUGUUCCCUCCUCCCUCCCUUCGCCGAGAUCUAAAGGGCUUGAGCUGGCCUGGAGUUCCCGAAGAGGCUCCCGGCCCACGCACAUGGGGGGCUGCGGGGGCUGGCGUGGUCGGUCGCCACCGUUAUGACCAAGACACCUUGGCAGCUAGCUCGAGGUGUGAGUGUUAGCUGUCCCCAGCGGGCGUGAACUCGCCGCCCCAGCUCACGGCACACCGAAGUGCCCUCCGCUUUGAGGGUCAGGACCUCAGCUGGAGACAUUAAGGAGGAGGUUUCCUAAAGGAGAUGACCUUUGCCUGGGGCCUUGAAGGCUGAUCUGCUCUGUGAUCUCAGGUAACCACCUCCUCCUCCUGGCCCUGGGAUUCCAUCUCUGAAUGAUAAUGAGGUGGAGAAAAAAAACAAAGGUAAACAACUCCAGGAAGAAGACACCAAAAGGGGUCAUGAAGAGUUGGACAAGACUGAAAUAACUGAACAACACAAGGCUCAGAAAAGAAGAUAGAAUAAAAUGUUGAUGAUGGGACAACAUCAAUGAGAAGUCAUGGUUCCAUAGUGCUUAAAGGCGAAGAAGAGCCUUUUUACUGAGCUGGAACUGAGAGUGCACAAAGAAGGCCAAAUCACCCUGUCUCAUGGCCAGCCGUGAUAGAGGGAAGGAAUACUGUAAGCCUCCAGGAGAAGGAAUCCUGGAGAUGGAAUGACCUUGUGAGGUCUGAAAGGUCAGAAGAGCAGCUGAGCCUGGGAAGGGGCUAGGGUUCUCCUCAGGCCAGCAGCAAAUGAACCAGACAGUCAAGCUACUUUGUCCUGCCAGCCAGAAAGCAGCUUCUUGAUCAGCUAUGCUGCAUCAAGAAAUAAAGUCAGUGGUGAAAAUA